rnacentral:rRNA from 1 species
UACGUAGGGCGCAAGCGUUGUCCGGAAUUAUUGGGCGUAAAGAGCUCGUAGGCGGUUUGUCGCGUCUGCUGUGAAAACCUGAGGCUCAACCUCGGGCUUGCAGUGGGUACGGGCAGACUAGAGUGCGGUAGGGGUGACUGGAAUUCCUGGUGUAGCGGUGGAAUGCGCAGAUAUCAGGAGGAACACCGAUGGCGAAGGCAGGUCACUGGGGC